CAGCCGCCGCGGUAAUACGUAGGGUGCAAGCGUUAAUCGGAAUUACUGGGCGCAAAGCGUGCGCAGGCGGUUAUAUAAGUCAGAUGUGAAAUCCCCGGGCUCAACCUGGGAACUGCAUUUGAGACUGUAUGGCUAGAGUGUGUCAGAGGGGGGUAGAAUUCCACGUGUAGCAGUGAAAUGCGUAGAUAUGUGGAGGAAUACCGAUGGCGAAGGCAGCCCCCUGGGAUAACACUGACGCUCAUGCACGAAAGCGUGGGGAGCAAACAGGAUUAGAUACCCCGGUAGUCCCUGUCUCUUAUAC
rnacentral:rRNA from 1 species